rnacentral:misc_RNA from 1 species
UACGAAAGGUGCAAGCGUUAAUCGGAAUUACUGGGCGUAAAGCGCACGUAGGCGGAUUGGUCAGUUAGGGGUGAAAUCCCGGAGCUCAACUCCGGAACUGCCUUUAAUACUGCCAGUCUAGAGACCGAGAGAGGUAAGUGGAACUCCUAGUGUAGAGGUGGAAUUCGUAGAUAUUAGGAAGAACACCAGUGGCGAAGGCGGCUUACUGGCUCGGAACUGACGCUGAGGUGCGAAAGCGUGGGUAGCAAACAGG